CCAAGUACAACUGAUUACGUUGUCUAUUACUAGCAGCAACAUAUCACCAAGUACAACUGAUUAUGUUGUCUAUCACUAGCAGCACCAUAUCACCAAGUAAAUCUCUCAGUAUGGUGUCUAUCACUAACAGCACCAUAUCACCAAGUAAAACUCUCAGUAUGUUGUCUAUCACUAGCAGCACCAUAUCACCAAGUAAAUCUCUCAGUAUGUUGUCUAUCACUAGCAGCACCAUAUCACCAAGUAAAACGGAUUAUGUUGUCUAUCGUUAGCAGCACUAUAUCACCAAGUACAACUCUGAGCAUGUGUAAAUAUACUUGGUGAAUGAAGGUGAUUCUGAUUCUGAUCAUAAUGGUUUGUAAUUGACACAGGCCACCUACAAUACUGAGCUCAAAUAAACAAGGCAAAAUAAAGGACGCACAAUAGUACUAUAAAAACAUAUAACAUCUGAUCAAGUUGUUUCUAUAGACUGUGUGCAAAAUAUGUUUUCCCCUUUCAGUUGUGUAAGUGCCUCUAUUUUUCAGAGCAGUAUGACAUUGCAUACCAAUCAAUCAAUCACAUUUAUUUAGAAAGCACUUUUUACAUCAGCAGAUGUCACAAAGUGCUAUACAGAAACCCAGCCUAAAACCCCAAACAGCAAGCAAUGCAGAGGCAGAAGCCAGACACCAUGGGAUGUAGAAGUGAGAUGUGAUCCGUGUUAAGAACCUCCCCUCCUGACAGAGGCAACACCAUCACUUGGUUUCCCGAAUCAACCACCUCACUACUUGUUUGACAACUAGGUUAAUCAAAAGGCAAUACAUUUCUGGCUUUAAGGAUCAGUUACUGUAACUAUUUUAUUUUUUAAUAUAACUGGACUCUGGAUUGUUGUGUGAAGAGACAUGGAGGCUAUGUUUGGACUACUGUUGGUGCUGUUAACAGGAGUGUCUCAUGCCACAGACAUGGUGACCACCUGUAAUGCUACUCAUAACUCAUCCCAGUGUUCCGUGGUUCUGAAUGGAACUCUGAAUCUCCAGCUGAUGACCAACGCGAGUGGAUGUGAAUUGUUGUUUAAAUAGAACCUCAUCGAUGGUCCCACACUGAUAUUCUCACUGAAAAGAAACAAGGUGACCUUUAGGGGAACGAGUGAAAAAAGAUCAAAGUUCUUUAUCAACAAUGGGACCUUAAGGUUAACCAAUGUGGAGAGGACUGAUUCUGGGCAAUACCUUGCGGAGAUCUACAAUUCCAAUGGGUUACUUUUGGGAACCAGACGAGUACAACUGGACAUUGAAGGACCAGGUUUACCCAUGGUGCUCAUCUUGGGGUCAGGUUCAGCUGUUGGUCUCCUCCUAGCAGUGAUGCUGGUAGCCUGCUGUAUUCAGAGGAGAAGGAGAAGUCCAGCACCACAGAUGGAGAAAACUAAGGACCUCAGCCUUCAGAAUGAGGAAAGCGGCGACCAAACCUUUGAUACCUGCUAACAGAGGGGAGAUAGAGGUUUAGGACUCAUUAGUAGGCUUCCAGAGAGUAGUCAUUGAUAAGUAACUAGAAUGGAGACAAAAUACUCAUUCCUUUUUCAAAACAGCCAAAACAAUUUCCUUUGUUUUUUCUGUGUGUGCAUUAAAUAUUUUUAUGGUAGUAGCUUAUUUUUUAUUCAUUGUUUUUCUGUUUUGUUGGCAGCUGUGAAUCAGCACUGGUAUUAAAUUACAUGAAUACUU